rnacentral:rRNA from 1 species
GUGAGGAAUUUUCCGCAAUGGGCGAAAGCCUGACGGAGCAAUGCCGCGUGAAGGAUGAAGGCCUAUGGGUUGUAAACUUCUUUUCUCAGAAAAGAAUUAUGACGGUAUCUGAGGAAUAAGCAUCGGCUAACUCUGUGCCAGCAGCCGCGGUAAGACAGAGGAUGCAAGCGUUAUCCGGAAUGAUUGGGCGUAAAGCGUCUGUAGGUUGUUUAAAAAGUAUUCUGUCAAAGAUUAGGGCUUAACCCUAGAUAGGCAGAAUAAACUUUUAAGCUAGAGGUUGGUAGAGGCAGAGGGAAUUCCCGGUGGAGCGGUGAAAUGCGUAGAUAUCGUGAGGAACACCAAAGGCGAAGGCACUCUGCUGGGCCAAUACUAACACUGAGAGACGAAAGCGAGGGGAGCAAAUGGGAUUAGAUACCCUUGUAGUCC